rnacentral:rRNA from 1 species
UACGGAGGGGGCGAGCGUUGUCCGAAGUUACUGGGCGUAAAGGGCGCGUAGGCGGCUUUGUAAGUUACUUGUGAAAUCUCUGAGCUUAACUCAGAACGGUCAAGUAAUACUGCAGAGCUUGAGUGCAGAAGGGGCAACUGGAAUUCUUGGUGUAGCGGUGAAAUGCGUAGAUAUCAAGAGGAACACCCGAGGCGAAGGCGGGUUGCUGGGCUGACACUGACGCUGAGGCGCGAAAGCUCGGGGAGCAAACAGG